GACGAACGCUGGCGGCGUGCCUAAUACAUGCAAGUAGAACGCUGAAGCGAGGAGCUUGCUCUUCUUGGAUGAGUUGCGAACGGGUGAGUAACGCGUAGGUAACCUGCCUUGUAGCGGGGGAUAACUAUUGGAAACGAUAGCUAAUACCGCAUAACAAUGGAUGACACAUGUCAUUUAUUUGAAAGGGGCAAUUGCUCCACUACAAGAUGGACCUGCGUUGUAUUAGCUAGUAGGUGAGGUAAUGGCUCACCUAGGCGACGAUACAUAGCCGACCUGAGAGGGUGAUCGGCCACACUGGGAGUGUGACACGGCCCAGACGCCUUCGGGAGGCAGCAGGAGGGAAUCUUCGGCAAUGGGGGCAACCCUGACCGAGCAACGCCGCGUGAGUGAAGAAGGUUUUCGGAUCGUAAAGCUCUGUUGUAAGUCAAGAACGGGUGUGAGAGUGGAAAGUUCACACUGUGACGGUAGCUUACCAGAAAGGGACGGCUAACUACGUG
rnacentral:rRNA from 1 species